rnacentral:misc_RNA from 1 species
UUCAAAAUAAAUCCAUAAAUGCCAAAAUGGAUUAGGUUUAAUGGUCUAUCUUGUACUAUAAACACAUCUUGUUUACAGUCUCUUAAAAACAUCAUAGGGCUUUUCAAAAAAUACACUGGAAAAGGCAUUGUUUUUGCUGAAUAAUUUUUGAACCAGGCUGCUAUCAAUGGAUACCGGAAUGCAGUUUUAUGUGUUUCAAAAAUUGAGACCAAUUGACCUUUAAAAACAACAUAAUAAAACAUAAAAGUAUACAGAAAGACAUUGAUGUUCAUCAGCCAUUGCGAGUAAAAUGAUGCAUGAAUUUUUUUUUUUUUUUUUUUUUUGCACAUCGCACUGCCAGAUAUAAAGAAAGAAGUUGACAGAACAAGAAACAUACAU